rnacentral:lncRNA from 1 species
GCCCUCAGAUCUACACGGUUACAGAAACACAAUGGCCUGGAGGGCCAGAGGAACAGUUCAUAGAAAGAGGGCUUCUGUGGGCAUCUCUGUCAGCUGAUAGGAUGAGCCCCUGAUGGCACCACAGGGAGGGGGCGGAGUUAGGGUGUCAGCUAGGACACUUUCUUUCCCCAGUGUGGUGGCCUCCUAAUCACAGACAUAGUGGCUAGGAUAAAGCGACUUGAGAAUAUAGCCAGGCCACUGUUCAGAGAAACUCUAGUGCUCAGGACAAGGGGAAACCCAGGGGCUGGGCUUCUGCCUCCACCGAUGCUGAAACUCAAACUUCUCCUCUGGAACCUGUCUUAUAUUUAGUGGUUCCUAGUAAGAUCAUUUGAAGAGAAGGUUCUGCUAUGUUCCAAGAACCAAGACUCAUUUUUCUAGAUGGACCCUAUCCCAGGUGGGAAUUCUUUCUUGAUCUGAACCACACAACUGCUUAACUACCUCCCUUGGGGAGGAGCUAGGUGUGAGUCAUCUUAGAAGGGUUCUCACUAUCUGCAAGGUCCUUAAAUCUGAGCCUGGAUUUGCCUCUGUAUAACUCGUAAAGUCCAUUCAGUCAUGCAUGCGUGCACCAGACAGACAUUUCCUGUGCACCUACUGUGUACCAGGUCCUGUGCCAGGCUCCCUGUCUCUACUAGCAGGGAAAACAGUUAAGAAAACAAGCAUAAUGUGGUGGCAUCAGUGUUGCUUCCUAGGCUACCUAUGAGGUUAGCCUAGGAGAAGUGAGGAUAUGUAAAAGAUAAUCUGGCAGGGUGGGGGUGAUGUGGAGGGACAAUUUGCUAGGACCUGAAGGAUCAGCCAGGCUCAGUCAGGGAAGGUGAGAGGAAUAGAGUUUCUAGUUGAGGCAACAGCACAAGCAAAGGCCCAGUGGUAAGGGAGAGCAUGGGUAUUUGGGAAACGAAGCAGAAUUCCAUCUGCCUGGUGAACUGGGCUGGAGAGAGGAGCAGACAGAGAUGACGCUCACUGGGGAGGCAGGGCCCCAUCCACUGCAGCCCCUGGAGUGUGGAGAAGCUCAGGUGGGACCUCUGAAGGACUGCCUUCAAGUGUCAGCCAGCCCCAUGGCAGCAGAAAUCAUGCUGCCUAUAAAAGGCUCGCUUUUGGAGACAGAUGCGUCCAGUGGGUGGAGCAAAUCACGGAGCAACUAAGGACACCCGGGAAGCAUCUCUAUAGCAAUGUGGUUAACAGCAUGGGCUCUGAUCAAAGGACUGAGGGAAACAGACAUUCCAGGCCCCCGCCCCCAUCCCACCUCCCCGGGCCUUUCCAGAAGGAUAGAACCUGAGUCUGAGCAUGCCUCUAGAUCCAGCGGCUAGUUGGCAUGAAAUUCAGAGGACAGAGUAACAUGCUGAGUUGUACCGUGAGUAUUCCACUGGCAAAAUCCAGGCUGGGAAAGUCCGCAGGUCAAACAACUAAAGCUCUUCCAUAAAUAAAUUACAGAAAAAGAAAAGAAUGGAGGGAGAACUUACAGAUUGAAAGAGAUUUAGGGGACGCCUGGGUGGCUCAGCGGUUAAGCGUCUGCCUUCUGCUCAGGGCGUGAUCCAUUCCCGGGAUGGAAUCCCACAUCGGGAACUUUUCUGUGUGUUUUUUU